rnacentral:lncRNA from 1 species
UAGGAGACAUGGAUAUUCCAAAAAGUAAUAUCUUGUCCUUGUAAGAGUUCCUGCAACCAGAGUUUGGGAAGAGGGCCUGAAAGCCCUCUUCCUUAGGCAAAUACAGGAGAACCCUCUUACCUAUAGGCAAAGAUAGGAUGAUACCAUAUAUUAAGUGCAGAAACUGAGUGGAAAAUAGCUUUAGUCAUGGACUUGAAUCCUGACUUACUUCUAGGUAGCACUCGGGACUCUUGCUAAGGGCAUACCACAAGUUUUACAAUUUAGGCUGUAGGCAUGGAGAAACGGAUCUGGGAGUCCCUCUGAAAUCUAAUCAUGUAUAAACAUAGUUUAUUAAACCUUAAUCCUCUUCAGGGUAUUCCUUUCUGUAGUCUGCUCUUCUAUCAGAAUGGCCAUUUCACUUUGUUUUUACAUUUCUCUUGCAAUUAUCUUUAUAAUGCAUCGUUGUAUGAACUAAAUGCUCUCCAGAAAUAGUUCAAAUUAUAUUCUGCUAAUUUCCUGUCUUCAUUAUUAUUAUCCUUUUGCUAAACCUUAUGUUAUCUACAAAUCACAUCAGGAGAUUGACAGAUAUUUAAGAAACAGAUGCCUAAAUCUAAUUUCCUAAAUACUCAUUAUGGUUCCAGUCAAGUUUCCUAAUUUUAAAAAGUUCUAGGCACAAAGAAAUGUCUCCUGAACACAAAUGUACACACAUAUAUAUACAUGCGGACAUGCAUGCUUUGGUGUAUUUAUGCAUAUAUAUAUAUGCUUAUAUUUGUGUUGAUGAGUCAGAGGGUAACAUAUUAUAUUUGGGUGUACUAUAUUUAAUAAGAAAGAAAAUCAUUAAUGCUUGCAACUCUACCCAUACUCAGUAAGAAAAAGUUCCUACCAGCUUUGAUGACCAUUCUGUGUAGGAAUUAAUUUUUCAAAAUUGUGUUUGGAUUAUGACAAGCAGAAAGUGACUUCAGAACUCCAAGUUACUGUAGAAUCCAAAAUAAUCUUAAUACUUUUUUUUUUUUUCAAUUCUCUUAAGGAUACAUCACUCAAGACAGGCAGGAGAACUUCUAGACAGUAUCAACUUCUUAGCAAACUAAAGAGCGGGUCAACUAAAGGAGAAGGGAAGAUGGAUUUGUUCCUGGUCCUCAAGCAUUUAUUUCUGCAUACUGGUCUUCCAAGCGAUGCUCUUGAAAAUAGGAGCAAGAAUAUAGCAGCAAUCAACCUGGAAAACAAUGUACAAUCACCUGAAGUGUCUGAACCCAGGGCUAAAAUGAAGGGCCCAGGCCUAAUUCUUCAGGAAAUGUGCUGUUUUGUCUUGGACUUGAAGCAGCAAACAUAAAGUAUAUUUUAUAUGAACACAUAUCAAUGCAGACUGCAUUCUGUCUCAAAAACGUGGGCUGCUUUAUCUAAGAAAAAAGGCUUUGUUUUCUGUUUGAAAAAGACAACGAGAAUUUUGGAUGGAAACUGAGAUGAGAACAGUAAGCCGUAUCAGUAACAGUGCUGAUCACAGCUGAAGUGUAUGUUACCAAGGUGACCACACUUACAGACUCAUGCUGAACUCAUCAGUAAUCAAGAGUUUAACUAGCAACAUCUCUAAAAGUUACAUCUCUGCCUUGGCUAAAAUAUAAAAGUUUUGUGGAGCUUCUCCUUGACCCACAACUUUUCCCCAGAACUAUUCAGAAAUGUAUGGCUGAAAUCUUGCAUCUGGGCCAGGACAAUCCCAAGCACAAAUGUAGGCUGGGUGGAGAAUGGAUUGAGAG